CCUGCCUCACUGCUCUCUCUGGAAAAAACAGCAGAAAGCAAAAGAAGACAGCCCUGCCUAGUUUUUCUGGUUAACUUAAAACUGCAAGGAGAAGCUCCAUUCACUAGUGCAGAAACUCCCUUACAGAAAUGAAAUGCCUCAUACCUUUAGUAAGACAGUCUCCAUUCAAGGAGGGAACAAGAAUGGACAUUCUUGUUCAAGAGAAGGAAGACUCAGAGAAAAUAAGCUAUUUUUUGUACCAUUUUGAUUAUAUUAAGAAGCAGUUGUGUCUGACAAACAAAAACACUUGCAAGGAGUACUAAAAAACUUUGCUUUCUAAUCAAAACAUUAUCCUUCCAUUCAUUUCUUUUUCUUAUUAUUAAUCUUCACCACACACUCACACUUUUCCUGUCCUGCCUCUUCCUUUUUUGUCUAAAAACACCUUUCAGAAUUUGCAAACACAAGUCUUUGUUUGCACGCUUGAAAGACAUCAAACUUAUGGAAAUUUCAUUAUUCAGUGUUUACAAUCCAAGAAGCUAAACAGCUUUUAAAUUUGUAUGAGCAGCAUACGACUGGACCUUCUCCCCAAGGUUUUACUUGCAAGCAUUAUUGGCUGCAUGGUAUGAAGGUCAUUUUAUGGAAAGUACACAUAUCAGAUGUGACAAAGGGGCUUCUACUUUUCCCAUAAUUUGGAAAGGAGUCUUUGUGCAGAGGCUUGCUGAUCAUGUGAGAACACAUUACACUCUUCAGGACACAGGCAGCGGGACCUAUGCUGACUUGCUCCUCCCCGACAUGGCUCUGCACUGUGAGAGGGAAGCUGUUGGACAAGCUGCAGACUGAGGAGCGUAUGCCAGGAACAGAAGUUCAGGCAUAGCAAAUGCCAGCACAUAGGGAGAUUAAGCACCAUCUCUGUUUUAUCCAAAGAUCAAAUAGGUGGGAAGGGUUCCUUUGAACCAGCCACAGGGACUCUGCCCCAGACUUGGUAAAUGGAGAAUUCUUCUUCUGUGGUUUGUUUGUUUGUUUUAUUGCUCUUGUUGGAGAUUAUAAAGAAUAAACAUAUUUCAUGAUUAUGAGCAGUCAGAGAAAGCCUCUGGGCCUUUUAGUUUGUUUAUUUCUCUUUCCAUUUUUCUUUUUUUAUACAACCAACCAACCAACCGUCACCAACAAAAAAUAAAAUAGUCCCUGGAAAAGGGUAAGACUUUUCAGGAGUCAUAAGAUGUAGUACCUAGAAAGAAUUUCGGCACAAAUAGUGUUCCUCAGGACUGCACCUGCCAUCUAGUUAGAGGAGCAAAUAGAAGUUCUGCAGUUUCCACAGACUUUUUGCUAGGCUUCACCAGGUUCUCUCCCAGUUGUACAUACAGCCUUCUUCCUUUGCAUUUACUCAGACAAAGGAGUUUUAUGGGACUCGCAUAUUUUUAGUUAUGCAUACAUGGUCUGUGCAGGCUCCUUUUAGUUUUUGCAACAUCUGAUAAGGCUUAAAGGGCCAAAAGAAUCUACUGUGUCACACAAAAUAUAUUCCCUCUGUAUUCACUUUGCUUUGCUUCACUGCAGACUUUCUCAGAGUAAAAUCUUUCUUCUAUCUAUGUAGCUGACAAAUUAGGGAGACCAUGAUAC